CGAACGCUGGCGGCGUGCUUAACACAUGCAAGUCGUACGGUAAGGCCCUUUCGGGGGUACACGAGUGGCGAACGGGUGAGUAACACGUGAGUAACCUGCCCACAACUUUGGGAUAACGCUAGGAAACUGGUGCUAAUACUGGAUAUGUGCUCCUGCUGCAUGGUGGGGGUUGGAAAGCUCCGGCGGUUGUGGAUGGACUCGCGGCCUAUCAGCUUGUUGGUGGGGUAGUGGCCUACCAAGGCGGCGACGGGUAGCCGGCCUGAGAGGGUGACCGGCCACAUUGGGACUGAGAUACGGCCCAGACUCCUACGGGAGGCAGCAGUGGGGAAGAUUGCACAAUGGGCGCAAGCCUGAUGCAGCAACGCCGCGUGCGGGAUGACGGCCUUCGGGUUGUAAACCGCUUUCAGCAGGGACGAAGCUUUUUGUGACGGUACCUACAGAAGAAGCACCGGCUAACUACGUG
rnacentral:rRNA from 1 species